rnacentral:rRNA from 1 species
UACGGAGGGUGCGAGCGUUGUCCGGAAUCACUGGGCGUAAAGGGCGCGUAGGCGGCUCUUCAAGUCGGGGGUGAAAUCCCACAGCUUAACUGUGGAAGUGCCUUCGAUACUGAGGAGCUCGAGCGAGGUAGGGGCCGAGGGAACUUCUGGUGGAGCGGUGAAAUGCGUUGAUAUCAGAAGGAACGCCGGUGGCGAAAGCGCUCGGCUGGACCUCUUCUGACGCUGAGGCGCGAAAGCUAGGGGAGCAAACGGG